ensembl:lncRNA
CGAAUAUCAUAAACACCUAACUUUUGAUAUUUUCAGUUGCACCUGUGUUAUAUAUCUAAAAUAGUAAAUGUAGACGAUGUAAAUAUAACUUUCUUCUCUCCUUACAUGUUGCUCGUACAAAAAUACAAGGUCUUUUUCUGUGUCCUGUGGUGGCCAGUGCAGUGAUUUCAAAGCUUUCCUGCCAUGUACCACUGUGAAGGAUCUGGCUCUGUCUCCUUGCUGGACUCCCUGUAGGUACAAGGAGCUGGUUCAGGUGGUUCAUGGCCAUCUCUUCUCUAGGCUGAACAAGCCUCACUCCCCCAGCCUCUCCUGACAGGACAAGUGCUUCCAAAUUGCUGUUGGAAAUCCCUGUGUUGGCAAGAAACCACAUCGUAUUUACUCUGUCAG